rnacentral:lncRNA from 1 species
CACUUAAUGGAAAAAUUGAAACUGCUGGAGGCAAGUUCAUCAAAUGUGGGAUGCACAAUGAAUCCACUCUGGGCUCUGUCUCUGAUUCACCACAUGACAUGAAUCUAGCGAUUUGCCUCUGCCUGAAGCUUUCCUGACUUCCCUGGUAUUUGCAGGAAGGUCCAUGGUUAUCCUGUGGAAGCAGAUCUCCAGGAGAACCAUCCACCUCAUCCCUGGCAAGCAGAUCCAGGUUCCUCCACAGUUUCCCAGCAGGAUUUGCAGUGGGUGGUCGCAGACUGGAGAGCUUGGCAGCUUUUUCAAUGGUACUGUUUGCUGCAGAAACCACGUAUUUUUACCUUUGUAUGGAAUAAUCACAUCCUGAUGAAAUCCAGGAUUUGUGCAGCCAAGCUGACUUUGCAAGUGCCACCACCUUUUGCAGCUACCAGGACCCCAACCCUGGAUUUCCCAAUCCUCUUCCUCAGCUCUUCAAAUCCUUCUUCCUAAACCACUCCUGAGCCAGAAGAGCUGUCCUCCAGGACCUCCCAAUCCAUUUUUCCCAUAUUGGGCAAGAGCUCCCACACCAGCAUCCCCUUAUCUCUGUAGAUCCAUGUCCAGAGGGUCCUUGGCUACCCCAGUCUGCCCUGACUGCCUCACCUUGCUGAUGCAUCUGCAGCCCUCCCUCAGGGCACAGGGGAGGCCAAGUGGAGCCUUUCCCUUCUCCCACCACCCUGUCUUGGAGUGUGGGAAGCUCAGUGCUCCUGGGAGGUUGGGAUGAGUCAGUGUUUGCACAUCCUGAGUCACUCCAGGGAGUUGCCAGAGAAGGAGGGGGAUGCCCAGUCUCAUCUGGGGGUGUAAAUAUCCCAGGAAGUUCUGUCCAAAAGAAAAUUCCCAUUGGGAGGUCACCACCUUGUAGGGUUGCUUCCAGCAGGGCCACCACCAUGGACCAGAAGUGUCACCCCAUGAGAAGAAGUUAUUUCCUGUCCCUGCUUCCGUGCCACAUCCCCAACCCAUGUGUCCUUGGAAACUUCCUGGGACAUGCCUCUUAGCUGUUCGCUCAGAGCAAGUUUUUGGAACCAGGGCAUCCAACACACCAGGGAGGCCAUGGAGAACUUGCCAGGCAAGUUCUCAAACCAGGGCUUUUGGGAUGUCUUUUGAGUAGAAUUCAUUCCCAGUCCUCCCACCGCUUGCAAUUUUUAUCAAUAUUUUUGGGGGUUUUUGAACUAGAGAUGCUUCUGAGCUCCUGUGAUGGCUUUGGGAGUGGAUUGGCUUAGGAGUCCAUUCCUGGUGCUCAAAGCAGGUUUAGGAUUUAAAGGGGAGAGUGGACACCCUUGCUGACACCCACAGGCACCUGGAUGUCCUCUGUGCCUUGAUGAAGCCCCAGA